AACGAACGCUGGCGGCAGGCUUAACACAUGCAAGUCGAACGGAUCCUUCGGGAUUAGUGGCAGACGGGUGAGUAACGCGUGGGAACGUACCCUUUGCUACGGAAUAACUCAGGGAAACUUGAGCUAAUACCGUAUGUGCCCUACGGGGGAAAGAUUUAUCGGCAAAGGAUCGGCCCGCGUUGGAUUAGCUAGUUGGUGGGGUAAUGGCCUACCAAGGCGACGAUCCAUAGCUGGUCUGAGAGGAUGAUCAGCCACACUGGGACUGAGACACGGCCCAGACUCCUACGGGAGGCAGCAGUGGGGAAUAUUGGACAAUGGGCGCAAGCCUGAUCCAGCCAUGCCGCGUGAGUGAUGAAGGUCUUAGGAUUGUAAAGCUCUUUCACCGGUGAAGAUAAUGACGGUAGCCGGAGAAGAAGCCCCGGCUAACUUCGUGCCAGCAGCCGCAGU
rnacentral:rRNA from 1 species